rnacentral:rRNA from 1 species
UACGAAGGGGGCUAGCGUUGCUCGGAAUCACUGGGCGUAAAGGGUGCGUAGGCGGGUCUUUAAGUCAGGGGUGAAAUCCUGGAGCUCAACUCCAGAACUGCCUUUGAUACUGAGGAUCUUGGGUACGGGAGAGGUGAGUGGAACUGCGAGUGUAGAGGUGAAAUUCGUAGAUAUUCGCAAGAACACCAGUGGCGAAGGCGGCUCACUGGCCCGUUACUGACGCUGAGGCACGAAAGCGUGGGGAGCAAACAGG